CAACUCUCUCUCUCCCCCCUGUCCCCCUCCCUCUCCUUCUCUCCCUGGUUUUAUUCCUUUUUAAGGUUUCACUCUGCUCUGUUCUUUGUCUAAGCAGAAGAAAUGGGAAAUGGUGGGACAACCCAGAAGAACCCGACGGCGAGGCUUCCCCCGAAGAGAGCUCCGGCUCGGAUGGAGACCUCAGCUCGCAGUCACAGCUCCAAAGUUGGCUCUUUCUCUGCAUUCCAGAACAAAUAGCAAUAGGACCAUCUCGAAAUGGGGGCUGGUCUUGAACCUUUUAGUUGCUUAUGUUACUGGAAAAUUUGCCUGUAGACUUAAAACCAGUGUGUCUUUUCUCGUUCGAUGUCUCUCUUCGUGUCGAAUUAUUAGCAGAUUCUAUAUUGUUAAAUCGCCAACGAAAUGUAAAUAAACAGAAGAUUCUUGGCUACGGCGGCGGCCGGGUGGAGAAUGUCCAUUUGAUCGAUUGAAUCAGCAGCAGGGGAGAUUGCAGAGAAGCAUGAAGGACAAAACAGGAGUAGGGAGGGAAGGAGAAGGAUGUCUGUGUCUUUUGCGAUGUCAUUGUUUUGGGUUAGAAUUUGUACUUUUGUCCUCUGUCGGUAUUUUAGUAAAGCCCUAUGAAGCACAUGGGAGGAGAAGGAGAAGUGUCCCCCCCCUAUAGAUGUUAUCUUUUUGCACCAUUGCACAAAAGAAAAUUAUAUUGGAGGUCAAUUUUCAAACGA